GUCAUCUGGCCAUCUUGUUAAGAUGCAAAUUCUGAUUCAGUGGAUCUAGGGUGGGGCCUGAGAUUUUGCAUUUCUAACUAGUGCUCAGGUGAUGCACA
rnacentral:pre_miRNA from 1 species